rnacentral:lncRNA from 1 species
GAGGUAGAGAGAGAGAGAUGGAUCACUUUGAAUCUUCUUUUGCGAAGAGCCCAAAGCGUGUGAAGAGGGAGAAGAGGAGAGAGAGAGAGAGGAGUUGAGUCCUUGAAUCUUCUUGUCGAAGAGGCCAAAGGACACAAAGACGUGUGCAGAGAGAGAGAGAGAGAGGAAGAGGUGAGAGAUGGAAGAGAGAGAAAGAGUGAAGAGAGUUGAGUCCCGUUGAAUCUUCUAUUGCGUGUGCAGAGAGAGAAAGAGGAGAGAGAGAGAGAGAGUGAAGAGAGAGAAAUAGAGAUGGUGCGGGGCCAGUGUAGCUUCAGCGGUUGGCAGGCGUGCACAGGUGAGGAAUUUAAUUACAGCUUUAAUUGUCAUGGUUUGCACGUGCCGGCACUGCCCUUCGUUCUGAAACCCCCCUCUAACACGUGCCUGCUUCUUCCCCAGAGUUAAAAU